UUCCCCUAGUAGCGGCGAGCGAAGCGGGAAGAGCUCAAAUUUAUAAUCUGGCACCUUCGGUGUCCGAGUUGUAAUCUCUAGAAAUGUUUUCCGCGUUGGACCGCACACAAGUCUGUUGGAAUACAGCGGCAUAGUGGUGAGACCCCCGUAUAUGGUGCGGACGCCCAGCGCUUUGUGAUACAUUUUCGAAGAGUCGAGUUGUUUGGGAAUGCAGCUCAAAUUGGGUGGUAAAUUCCAUCUAAAGCUAAAUAUUGGCGAGAGACCGAUAGCGAACAAGUACCGUGAGGGAAAGAUGAAAAGCACUUUGGAAAGAGAGUUAACAGUACGUGAAAUUGUUGGAAGGGAAACGCUUGAAGUCAGACUUGCUUGCCGAGCAAUCGGUUUGCAGGCCAGCAUCAGUUUUCCGGGAUGGAUAAUGGUAGAGAGAAGGUAGCAGUUUCGGCUGUGUUAUAGCUCUCUGCUGGAUACAUCUUGGGGGACUGAGGAACGCAGUGUGCCUUUGGCGGGGGUUUCGACCUCUUCACACUUAGGAUGCUGGUGGAAUGGCUUUAAACGACCCGUCUUGAAACACGGACCAAGGAGUCUAACAUGCUUGCGAGUAUUUGGGUGUCAAACCCGGAUGCGUAAUGAAAGUGAAUGGAGGUGGGAACCGCAAGGUGCACCAUCGACCGAUCUGGAUUUUUAAUGAUGGAUUUGAGUAAGAGCACGUAUGUUGGGACCCGAAAGAUGGUGAACUAUGCCUGAAUAGGGCGAAGCCAGAGGAAACUCUGGUGGAGGCUCGUAGCGGUUCUGACGUGCAAAUCGAUCGUCAAAUUUGGGUAUAGGGGCGAAAG
rnacentral:rRNA from 1 species